rfam:Heterocephalus glaber contig232822, whole genome shotgun sequence.
AGAUGUGAGGGCGAUCUGGCUGCGACAUCUGUCACCCCACUGAUCGCCAGGGUUGAUUCGGCUGAUCUGGCUGGCUAGGCGGGUGUCCCCUUCCUCCCUCACCGCUCCAUGUGUGUCCCUACCGAAGCUGCACGCUCCUUCGAAGAGGACAACCACCCCCCAUAGAGGAGGACCGUUUCCUCGCUCAAGGGUAUACGAGUAGCUGCGCUCCCCUGCUAGAACCUCCAAACAAGCUCUAAAUCCCAGUUCUCUCCUCAGUACUUCAGUUCCAAUUAUGUCUAUCCUUUCAAUUCACUAAUU